UGAUUCCCUUUAAGAGUCGUCUCUCGCUUCCCUUUAAUCGUUCAAUCGUCAUUCCCAAUCACCGCUUUCAAUCGUCGUUCCCAAUCACCGCAUAUCAUCACCGCCGAGUCGUUCAAUCGUCCCUCCCUGUGUUACCCUCGCUCUCCAUCUGCUAUUUCAGAUAUCUCAUGAUUUAAGAUACUUCCAGAUUCAGAAAAAACAAGGGACAUUGGUGCAUCAACCCCAAGCCAUUGGCACACUUAGGUUCCGACAUGUUCAUUUUUUCGACCUUCAAAUCUAAGGUGUGAAAAGUACAAGGUCCAAAGCUUUAAUACGAUGGUGCAUCAAGAAACCUUAGGUCAUCCCAUUUGGAAAUGAAAUCUCAACUAGAAAAGAAGAUGAGAGGAUCGUCUUUGGAAAUGGCAGAUCAAAGUAGCAAUUCUUCUGCCGUGGAAGGAACUGUGCCCUAUCGGAAAUGACGGAUCAAAGUAGCAGACCAAUAUUUUUUGAGUUUGUUUGUCAACUCUAUAUUGGAUUUUAAACUUUCAUAAAAUUUUCAAGGAUCAACUUCA